rnacentral:lncRNA from 1 species
AUGCAAUCCAGCAGCAAUGUGCCUUACAUAGAACAACUGGUAGGAACCUCCCUAAGCUGCGAACCCUGAAGAAAGCUUGAAUAGACGUGACCGUUUUUUCCCCACAGAGUGCCUUGUUCAUUAAGGCAUCGGCAGAAGAGUCUGUAUCCUUUACGCAAUUACUCAGCAAGUGCUUUUAAAGACGCUGUAAUAGACUCAGGAAAGUCAUCUUCUCUCAGCAGAGGAAAUUCAAGACUGUUCUCUUGACCACCAGGCUGGUCUAGAACUAGAGACACUCACUCCUGCUGUGUUGGCCACUGAGUUUGGCCACUUCAGUAAAAGAUCGGUUUUUGACUGAAGAAGAAAUGAAUUACAAACUGGACAAAGAAAAAGAGGAACAAAAAUAUCAUUAUCAGCAUCAAAUACCCUAAGGCUGAUUUGUUAAAGCACUGCCACCUUCAUUUAUUUCAAAAGCGCACGAACAAAAGGUAACAGCUACGCAUGACAAGUGGAUGAAUUUACACAGACAUCAACGCUGCACAGAAGAACUACAGGAGAGGUAUUUGCGGCUGCAGUUCAGAACAACCCAGUACUCAGCAUCAUUGUAACUAACAGUGGUAAAAGCCACUCCAGGCUCUUUCAUAAGAGUCCACAUUCUUACAGCAAUGCUUCAGAGGUAACUCAAAUUUAAGAGCUUCUGAUCCUUGCACCAUGCUUCCAGACAAUAACAUGAGAAAAGCAGAGCGACUGCUAUCGUG